GUGAAUAUAAAUAUAAAUCUUAGUUCUCAAUUAGAUUAGUCAUAUUGAUCAUAUUUCUUUUUUAGUAUAGAAUUAUGUGGUGUCCUUGUGUCCUAUUUCAUGAUAUUGGUCGUGUCACAAUGUCCGCGUUGUGUAGCGUCUAGUGUUAGUGUCGGAAUCAGUGCUUCAUAGAUUAUGACAACCAUCAAUCAUGCAUGUCAUUGGACAAUGUAAUGGAUGAUGACAAGAAAGGAUUGGCAAACAGAAACUAAAAGCAAAUUAGAGAUAUAAGAGAGUAGAGAUACAAACGUUGCUUGGAGAAGGCAUAUUAGUGCACUUCUUCUCCUUCUUGGGAGUGCAGGUGCUAUCCUUUGUAGUUAUGUUGUCAAUGAUCUGUCAAUUUAACGAUAAAAUUCAUUAAUAACAAACAGAAAAUAAAAGCAAAUUAUAGAUAUAAUAGACUAGAGAUACAAACGUUGCUUGGAGAAGGCAUAUUAGUGCACUUCUUCUCCUUCUUGGGAGUGCAGGUGCUAUCCUUUGUAGUUAUGUUGUCAAUGAUCUG
rnacentral:lncRNA from 1 species